GUGUUAGAUGCCCUAACAGAAACUACAUUUACGUGUUCAACGAAUGGGUGGAUACUCCAACUUGCAUUUUGUAAUGUGGUAAGAUUAGAAAAGUUAUGUCUCUUUAAAUAAACAUAAUUUAAAAACAUUUAAAAAAUUUUUAUUGACAUUUUUUGCAAGUUUGAAUGAGAAGGGGAGGGGGCGUUGGGUGUAGCACACACCCCUACCUGUACUAACAUAU
rnacentral:lncRNA from 1 species